AGCAGCGUGGCUCAGUGGAAAGAGCCCGGGCUUUGGAGUCUGUGAUCACGGGUUUGAAUCCCGGCUCUGCCA
rfam:Ornithorhynchus anatinus chromosome X1, whole genome shotgun sequence.